CCUACGGGUGGCAGCAGUGGGGAAUAUUGGGCAAUGGGCGCAAGCCUGAACGAGCAAUGCCGCGUGAACGAGGAAGGUCUUCGGAUCGUAAAGUUCUGUUGAAGGGGAAAAAGAGCGGAGAGAGGAAAUGGUCUCCGAUUGAUAUUACCCUUCGAGGAAGUCACGGCUAACUACGUGCCAGCAGCCGCGGUAAUACGUAGGUGGCGAGCGUUAUCCGGAAUGAUUGGGCGUAAAGGGUGCGUAGGCGGCCUGCUAAGUCUGGAGUGAAAGGUACCGGCUCAACCGGUAUAGGCUCUGGAAACUGGCGGGCUAGAGAGCAGGAGAGGGCGGUGGAACUCCAUGUGUAGCGGUAAAAUGCGUAGAUAUAUGGAAGAACACCAGUGGCGAAGGCGGCCGCCUGGCCUGUUACUGACGCUGAGGCACGAAAGCGUGGGGAGCAAAUAGGAUUAGAUACCCCUGUAGUC
rnacentral:rRNA from 1 species